UCUUCGGAGUCUGGGGUGGUCGCGAAGAUCCCGAGCAAGCCCCCAAAUUAAAGACCCCCGGAGCAGGGAGACCCUCACUCAAGUCUCGGGAUGAUGCGACCCCCUAAGAACUCACGUGAGACC
rnacentral:pre_miRNA from 14 species